CCUACGUGAGGCUGCAGUGGGGAAUAUUGGACAAUGGGCGAAAGCCUGAUCCAGCCAUGCCGCGUGUGUGAAGAAGGCCUUCGGGUUGUAAAGCACUUUCAGUCGGGAAGAAAUCCUUGGGGCUAAUACCCUCGAGGAAGGACAUCACCCACAGAAUAAGCACCGGCUAACUCCGUGCCAGCAGCCGCGGUAAUACGGAGGGUGCGAGCGUUAAUCGGAAUUACUGGGCGUAAAGCGCGCGUAGGCGGUCUGAUAAGCCGGUUGUGAAAGCCCCGGGCUCAACCUGGGAACGGCAUCCGGAACUGUCAGGCUAGAGUGCAGGAGAGGAAGGUAGAAUUCCCGGUGUAGCGGUGAAAUGCGUAGAGAUCGGGAGGAAUACCAGUGGCGAAGGCGGCCUUCUGGACUGACACUGACGCUGAGGUGCGAAAGCGUGGGUAGCAAACAGGAUUAGAUACCCCGGUAGUC
rnacentral:rRNA from 1 species